rnacentral:rRNA from 1 species
UACGUAGGGUGCAAGCGUUAAUCGGAAUUACUGGGCGUAAAGCGUGCGCAGGCGGUUUUGUAAGUCUGUCGUGAAAGCCCUGGGCUCAACCUGGGAAUUGCGAUGGAGACUGCAAGGCUUGAAUCUGGCAGAGGGGGGUAGAAUUCCACGUGUAGCAGUGAAAUGCGUAGAGAUGUGGAGGAACACCGAUGGCGAAGGCAGCCCCCUGGGUCAAGAUUGACGCUCAUGCACGAAAGCGUGGGGAGCAAACCGG